rnacentral:rRNA from 1 species
AUACGGGGGGUGCAAGCGUUAAUCGGAAUUACUGGGCGUAAAGCGCGCGUAGGCGGUUUGCUCAGUCGGAUGUGAAAGCCCAGGGCUCAACCUUGGAACUGCAUACGAUACUGGCGAACUAGAGUGUGAGAGAGGAUAGUGGAAUUUCCGGUGUAGCGGUGAAAUGCGUAGAUAUCGGAAGGAACAUCAGUGGCGAAGGCGACUGUCUGGCUCAACACUGACGCUGAGGUGCGAAAGCGUGGGUAGCAAACAGGAUUAGAUACCCUAGUAGUCC